GCAGUGGGGUGGCUUGUCGCUUGGCGGGUAAUCGUCAAGAGGAAAGUCCGGGCAACACAGAGCAUCACAUUUCUUAACGGGAAGCCAUGGGCGACCGUGGGGUUUAAGGUGACAGAAAACAACCGCCACAAGCAUGCGGGCCAUGCCUGUGGUAAGGGUGAAAAGGUGGGGUAAGAGCCCACCGGGCGUGGUGGUGACAUCACGUGCCGCACUACCUGUGAGUUGCAAGGUCAAGUAUACCGGCAUCUAAGGGCUGCUCGUCCAUUGCCGGGGGGUAGGCCGCUACUUCGUGUUGCCACAUGGAACACGAUAUACUGACGCAGCAAUGCGCCAGACAGAUAAAUGACAGGCGGCAGUGCCUAGUGCGCUGCUACAUAACCCGGCUUAUAGCCUCACUGCCUUU
rnacentral:RNase_P_RNA from 1 species